rnacentral:lncRNA from 1 species
CGGCAAAUGUCUGAAUAAGUAUUUAUUCUUUUGUACAUAUGAUAAAAACAUCUUAUACUGCAUUUAUCUAACUACAUUUGGUGAAAAUUUGAUGGAAUUUGGAUUAAAAUUGAUCGAGUUACAGCGGAUCUCCCGAAAGGCAUGUCUAGGGUAUCCUGUAACCUUAACAUAUACAGUACAAAUAAUUUUCCAAUAAAGUUAACUUGUAAUUCCAAUUACAGUAAAGCCUUCUAUAAUGUAUGUGUUUUAAUUAGUUCUAAUUGACCAUCUACCCUCUAAUUAUUGCUACAUGUAAUUCUUAUCAUUGUUAGGAAAGUACCAGACCCAGGUAUUCUAUGAAUAAUGGCCAAAAAAAUGAAAAUAUACUUGCAGCUAGCUUAUUCUACACACAUAUAAUUCAAAAUUUGUUAUUUUUAUGUAAAAAUAUAAAAAAUAUAUACUUAAUUUACAAUUUAUAAUACUUUUUUAAUGUUUCCAAUUUCCCAUAUAUCAAUAUUCAUAGUUUGGCAGCAUCGCUAUGGUUUCCACAUCACGUAAGCAUACUUAUGCAUGUAAUACAAGUUUCUCAUCACUGGACAAAAGUGGUGUCGUCGUGCCUAAAAUGUAAAAAAUAUCUUUUUAUACUACAAAUCGUUCCAGGGGG